CCUACGGGAGGCAGCAGUGGGGAAUAUUGCACAAUGGGGGAAACCCUGAUGCAGCGACGCCGCGUGAGUGAAGAAGUAUCUCUGGAUUGAAAGCUCUAUCAGCAGGGAAGAAAAUGACGGUACCUGACUAGGAAGCCCCGGCUAACUACGUACCAGCAGCCGCUGUCAUACGUCGGGCACACGCGGUAUCCGGAUUUAAUGGGGGUUAAGGGAGCGUAGACGGGGCUGCAAGUUCGGCGUGAAAGAACAUGGCUUAACCAUGGUAUUGCUGUGGAAACUGUGGUGCUUGAGUGAGGGAGGGGUAGGCGGAAGUCCUAGUGUAGCGGUGAAAUGCGUAGAUAUUAGGAGGAACACCGGCGGCGAAGGCGGCCUGCUGGAGCGUAACUGACAUUGAGGCUCGAAAGCGUGGGGAGCGAACAGGAUUAGAUACCCCAGUAGUC
rnacentral:rRNA from 1 species